rnacentral:tRNA from 2 species
GCCGAUUUAACUUAGCAGACAAAGCAACUGACUUGUAAUCACCGGGUCGCCAGUUCGAUUCCGGUAAUCGGCACUA